AUUGAACGCUGGCGGCAGGCCUAACACAUGCAAGUCGAGCGGAUGAGUGGAGCUUGCUCCAUGAUUCAGCGGCGGACGGGUGUGUAAUGCCUAGGAAUCUGCCUGGUAGUGGGGGACAACGUUUCGAACGGAACGCUAAUACCGCAUACGCCCUACGGGAAAAAGCAGGGGACCUUCGGGCCUUGCGCAACCAGAUCAGCAUAGGUCGGAUUAGCUAGUAGGGGAGGUAAUGGCUCACCUGGGCGACGAUACGUAACUGGUCUGAGAGGAUGAGCAGUCACACUGGAACUGAGACACGGGCCAGACUCCUACGGGAGGCAGCAGUGGGGAAUAUUGGACAAUGGGCGAAAGCCUGAUCCAGCCAUGCCGCGUGUGUGAAGAAGGUCUUCGGAUUGUAAAGCACUUUAAGUUGGGAGGAAGGGCAGUAAGUUAAUACCUUGCUGUUUUGACGUUACCAACAGAAUAAGCACCGGCUAACUUCGUGCCAGCCGCCGCGGUAAAAC
rnacentral:rRNA from 1 species